UACAGAGGUCCCAAGCGUUGUUCGGAUUCAUUGGGCGUAAAGGGUGCGUAGGCGGCGCGGUAAGUCGGGUGUGAAAUCUCGGAGCUUAACUCCGAAACUGCAUUCGAUACUGCCGUGCUUGAGGACUGGAGAGGAGACUGGAAUUCUUGGUGUAGCGGUGAAAUGCGUAGAUAUCAAGAGGAACACCUGCGGCGAAGGCGGGUUGCUGGGCCGACACUGACGCUGAUGCGCGAAAGCUAGGGGAGCGAACGGG
rnacentral:rRNA from 1 species